GUGCUCACUUUGACAGAAAAUAUACUAAAAUUGGAAUGAUACAGAAAAGAUUAGCAUGGCCCCUGUGCAAGGAUGACGCGCAAAAUAAAAUUAAAAGAUUAAAAAUAUUU